GGGGUUGUGGCUCAGUGGUAGAGUGCUUGCCUGCCAUACGUGAGGCACUGGGUUUGAUCCUCAGCCCCA
rnacentral:tRNA from 1 species